AGUNGANCNGNNNNNGANGAGANCUUNCUNUNUUGCUGACGAGUGGCGGACGGGUGAGUAAUGCUUGGGAAUCUGGCUUAUGGAGGGGGAUAACUACUGGAAACGGUAGCUAAUACCGCGUAAUGUCUNNGGACUAAAGGGGGCGAAAGCUCUUGCCAUAAGAUGAGCCCAAGUGGGAUUAGGUAGUUGGUGAGGUAANGGCUCACCAAGCCGNCGAUCUCUAGCUGGUCUGAGAGGAUGACCAGCCACACUGGAACUGAGACACGGUCCAGACUCCUACGGGAGGCAGCAGUGGGGAAUAUUGCACAAUGGGGGAAACCCUGAUGCAGCCAUGCCGCGUGAAUGAAGAAGGCCUUCGGGUUGUAAAGUUCUUUCGGUGAUGAGGAAGGUGUAAUGGUUAAUACCCGUUACAAUUGACGUUAGUCACAGAAGAAGCACCGGCUAACUCCGUGCCAGCAGCCGCGGUAAUACGGAGGGUGCGAGCGUUAAUCGGAAUAACUGGGCGUAAAGGGCACGCAGGCGGUUGUUUAAGUGAGGUGUGAAAGCCCUGGGCUCAACCUGGGAAUUGCAUUUCAGACUGGACAACUAGAGUACUUUAGGGAGGGGUAGAAUUCCACGUGUAGCGGUGAAAUGCGUAGAGANG
rnacentral:rRNA from 1 species